UACGUAGGGAGCAAGCGUUGUCCGGAAUCAUUGGGCGUAAAGCGCGCGUAGGCGGCCCUGUAAGUCCGUUGUGAAAGUCAAAGGCUCAACCUUUGAAAGCCGAUGGAUACUGCGGGGCUAGAGUCCGGAAGAGGCGAGUGGAAUUCCUGGUGUAGCGGUGGAAUGCGCAGAUAUCAGGAGGAACACCAAUAGCGAAGGCGGCCGGCUGGGCUGUACCUGACGCUGAGGCGCGAAAGCGUGGGGAGCGAACCGG
rnacentral:rRNA from 1 species